AAAUUUUUAUGUUUUAUAAAUUUUAUUUUAAGUUUAUUUUACAUAUAAAUUUUAGUAUGAAAUUUUAAUUUAUUUAAAAAAUAAUUGAAUUAUUAUUAUUGUAGUAAUUAAUAUUAAAAAUUUAAGAAAUUAAGAUUUAGUAAUACAAAAAUUAAUAACUAAUUUUGUGCCAGCAGUUGCGGUUAAACAAAAGUUAAAUUAAAUUAUUUCAGUUUAUAAUAAAUAAAUUUAUUUUAAAAUAAAUAAUAAAUUAUUAGGUAAAAUUUUAAUUUAUUUAAAUUUUAUAUAAAAAUUAUGAAUUAAUAAAUUUUAUUAUAAACUAGGAUUAGAUACCCUAUUAUUAAAAAUUUAAUUAAAAAUACUAAAAUAGUAAAUAAUAAUUUAUUGAAACUUAAAUAAUAUGGCGGUAUUUUAGUUCAUUUAGAGGAAUCUGUCUAAUAAUUGAUAAUCCACGAAUAAAUUUACUUAAUUUAAAAUUUUGUAUAUCGUUGUUAAAAAAAUAUUUUUUAAUAAAAAUAAUAUUUUAAAAUUAUAAAAUAAAUUAAUUCAGAUCAAGAUGCAGAGAAUAAUUAAGAAUAUGAUGGAUUACAAUAAAUUUAUUUAGAUGAAUAUAAUAUUUGUAAAAUAUAAUUGAAGGUGGAUUUAAAUGUAAUUUUAUUUAAUUUAAUAAAAUGAUUAUAAAUUGAAAUAUGUACAUAUUGCCCGUCACUUUCAUUUAAAAAUUGAAAUAAGUCGUAACAAAGUAGAGGUACUGGAAAGUGUUUCUAGAAUGAU
rnacentral:rRNA from 1 species